AUCCUUUAACAAGGAUCCAUUGGAGGGCAAGUCUGGUGCCAGCAGCCGCGGUAAUUCCAGCUCCAAUAGCGUAUAUUAAAGUUGUUGCGGUUAAAAAGCUCGUAGUUGGUUCUGCGUGCCGCGCUGUCGGUUCGCCGCCUGUCGGUGUAACUGGCAUGUCGCGGCAUGUCCUGUCGGUGGUGAACGGGGUCCACGAUUCUGCAUAGGCUUUACAGCCGAUGUUAGCGUCGUGUGUAUUUCCGUUGGCCGAUCUCUCCUACUCCGGUGCUCUUAAACGAGUGUCGAGGUAGGCCGACACGUUCACUUUGAACAAAUUAGAGUGCUUAAAGCAGGCUGAAAUAUCUGCCUGAAUAGUGGUGCAUGGAAUGAUAAAACAGGACCUCAGUUCUAUUUUGUUGGUUUUAGGAAUAUGAGGUAAUGAUCAAUGUGGACUGGCGGGGGCAUUCGUAUUGCGACGUUAGAGGUGAAAUUCUUGGAUCGUCGCAAGACGCACUAGAGCGAAAGCAUUUGCCAAGUAUGUCUUAAUUGAUCAAGAACGAAAGUUAGAGGUUCGAAGGCGAUCAGAUACCGCCCUAGUUCUAACCAUAAACGAUGCCAGCCAGCGAUCCGCCGAUGUUCCUUUAAUGACUCGGCGGGGAGCUUCUACCCGGGAAACCAAAGCUUUUGGGUUCCGGGGGAAGUAUGGUUGCAAAGCUGAAACU
rnacentral:rRNA from 1 species